GCCUGAUCUUGUUUGCUUGCUUUAAUAAACCCAAAUCAAAGCUGGCCCAAUUCUAAACUCUUGGGCUUUUGAAUCGGACUUGAAGCUCAGGACGAACGAUCCAUCGAACAGGAAGUAUAAACUACGGUUGAGGUACGAAGAAGAUCAUGGGAUGCCUUAGAGUGAGGAUGCAACCAUCAAAUUCACGAUCGAUGUUUAAUAAAGAUAACUAUGUCAUUAGUAAUAAAGGGAUGUAUUAAUUAAACUCUAAGUUUGAUUUCACGAUUUGAGUUAGAUUUUUAAAUUAAUGUUUAAACUUGUUAGAAAUAUUUAUU